GCCGUAAAACCCCCCCUUUUUUUCUGGUUGACCUCGGAUCAGGUAGGAAUACCCG
rnacentral:rRNA from 1 species